rnacentral:lncRNA from 1 species
GGUCUGGAACUCCCGACCUCACGUGAUCCACCCACCUCGGCCUCCCAAAGUGCUGGGAUUACAGGCAUGAGCCUCCAUGCCCAGCAAAAAAAAAUGCAUUUUUUUUUUCCAUAGAGAUAGGGUCUUGCUACCUUGCCCAAGACAGACCUCAAACUCCUGGCCCCAAGGGAUCCUGCCACCCCAAGUGAUCCUGCUGCCUUGGUCUCUCAAAGCACUACUGUGCCUGGCCUAUUUUCUUUAUAAUAAUGCUAGGAAUAAGGAACUAAAAAAUAAAAGACAUAGAAAAUGUUCUAGUAGAUUCUGG